CCCGCCCCCCUUCAACCGCCCAGCUCGCGGCCCGACGCCGCCCGCCUGGCCGGUGACCCGCUGCUGCUGCGCUGCUACGACCUGCGGCUGGUGGACGGGGCGGGGCAGGUGCGGGGGCGGGGCGGUUGGGGGGGGGGCAGGUGUGUGUGUAUGUGCAUGUGUGUGUGUAGAUACCAGCCCAAGCUGACACCAUACUGAACCCAAUGGGGGCCGGGCGGGUGUUUGGGUGUGUUAGUGGGUGCGGUGCGUGUCUCAGCAAGGCGCGGUGCUGUGGCUGCGUCAGUGGCUGCGUCAGGAAGCUGGGGGAUGUGCGUGAGGGUGCAGCUGUGGCUGGAUGGCGGAUGCGCACGCGUCGCAGACCCGCCCUGCCGUUGUGCAUGUACGUGUGUGUGUGUGCCUCACCAGGUGAUGGUGGAGGAGGCGGAGGCGGUGGUGCCGCGGUUUGAGCCCACUGGCUUCUUCGGACUGGCGCCGCAGGCGGUGCGCAAGGUGGGUGGGUGCGCGCGAGAGAGGAGGAGGAGGGCCUCGCUCACGGGGGCCAUGUUUGAUGUAUGCGGCUGAGAGUGUGUGUGAUGCAAGCGACCCUUGCACUUUGCCUGCACUGUUACCCUCCUGACACAACUCAUUUGGCCUCCUGUGUGGCUAUCCCGGCCGCCCGCCAUCACCAUACCGAAUACAUCCUCACCACCUGCCUGCUACGUACGCGGCGCGUCGGCGCCGCCGCCCGGGCCCCACUCCCUAUGCGCGCACAGGCGGGUGCGGUGCUGCUGCUGCGGCUGCUGGCCUGGAAGCGCGUGGGGCUGUGCUGCGCCUCCGCUGAGAGCCUCAAGUACGUGUUUGUGAUGGGCGAGCGCGGCGCCGGCCGGGCCACCGCCUUCGCGCGACUGGCGCAGCUGCCGCUCGACUACAAGGUGCGUGCGUGUCAGUGUGUGUGUGUGUGUGUGUGUGUGUGUGUGUGUGUGUGUGUGUGUGUGUGUGCUGUUUAAUGUUUGCGCGUGUGUAUUUGUUUUUGUGUGUCAGCCUGUGUGUGCGCUUCUGUGUCUGUGUGUUGGUAAAGCAACAAGGGUAAGGUUGACAGGAAAAGUAGAUGAGGGAGAGUGUUUGGUCAUGUCAGGACCAAGCGAAACGAUGGGAAGGUGUGCAUGCAUGUGUACAACAUGCUAGCUGGCGCCCCUUGCCCUUACAGCCGUGCCCCUAUUUCCACAUUUACGCUCCCCAUCUCCCGUUCUCCCCUUUCCUCCUGUCCCCCAUUUCCCCAUGCUAGACUCCCCCUCCAAACCCCAACCACCCAUCACACCACACCACUACUCCCGCACGCCCCCACCCACCCCCCCCCCCGCCCCGCAGGUGCCUCCCUCCGUGCCCGCCGAGAUCCGGCCCAUCCAGCGCCUGCCCGGCGCCUUCGCGGUGCUGCCCGCCGGCCUGGACGCCGACCCCGCCGCCUGCCCCGCAGUGCUGGCGCGGGCGCAGCACUUCGCGGACCUGUCGCACGGUGCGUGUUGAUGUUUGCGCUUGUGCAUGUGCGUGUGUGUGGAUAGGUGCGCAGCUUUGUUCCAUUACUGGGUAUGUGCGGGGGGGUUGUAGAUACCAGCCCAUACUAAACCAAACCCAAUGCAAUAGAGCGAGGAGGAGAGCGUGGGCGAUGCUUGACAACGGGGGUAUUUGAAGCCCCCCUGCUUCCCCCAGCUUCUCAAUCUGUGCCUGCUGCCCCCGCCCGCCCGCCCGCCCGCCCCGCAUGCAGGCGUGUUCUCGGUGCUGGUGUACCUGGUGGGCGUGGACAGCGCGCCCUCGCCCGAGGCGCUUGGGCCGGCGGUGUGGCAGGCGCUGGCGGCGCGGCGGCCGCUGCUGCUGCUGGUGAACAAGGGCAUCAAGCUCACGGAGGCGCUGAGGGUGAGAGUGGGGUGAGCGAGGUAGCAGGGGGCGGGCGGGGCGGCGGGCGUGGACAGGGUGGGUGAUGAGCGGGCGGGCAUGCUGGUUGCGCUGUAGUGUCUGACAGCCUCUGGGUGUAGAGCGGGCCAGGACGCUGGCCACCGGUACCCUGAUGGUGCAUCUGCCUUGCUGUCCACAACCUUAUGUUCUUAAUGUGCCGGUGUCCUGUAGCGGUGCACAACAUGUUGAAUGGUGAUUACGACUAUCGCUAGCCGGAAGUAGGGGCGGCUGACAGUCAGACUGUUUCGCACAUUACAUAGUACCACACUACUUAACUAUAACGGGUAGCUCUCUGGCUUAUACCCUCGCAUGGGUUCCGGGUUAAGUCCUUGCAUGGUGUAUCGCACACACACUCUCGGAACUCCCCUACGUUCUCCCUUAUGGAUAGUUCUGACCGAUAUCUCAACACUCCCCCGCGGGCAGAACUCCAUACUCAAAUUACGUAUCGCAAUAGACUCAUACCUCAAAUCACGUGCUACAAACAAUCCCUGCAUACCUCUGUACGCUUGCCGCUUGUAGUCACUGUGCUACUGCAAUCGUCCCAUGUUCUCGUGUCCUCAAGAUCACGUCUUUCUCUUUCUCACUGCAUCGUCCAUAAUCAGCACAAAUCAAUACGGUCUUCUACCGCAAUCAAUUUCAUCCGGAAAUCCAUACUCAAUCAUAUCUGCACGGCUCCCCCGUGUCCGAAUGCUCCCGCAUUCACUGUACUUACGGCUUCACUUCACCGUACCUGCGGUUUCACACACCGCAUCAUGCCGCACUACCGGCAUCAUAGCUUCAAGUGCUAGAGAGCCAUACACAUAAGAUGAUCUUUUAACAUCAUAUGAUAAGAGCAUAACAGCAACUCUCUACCGCUGGCUUCACUUGCCAUGUUCGUUCAUCUGACUUCACUUGCCAGUCGUGGAUCCUUGCCAGUCCGUGACUUCACUCGCCACAUGUGACUUCACUCGCCACAUAGCAAACCACUCUCAGUGCACUUCACUCGUGCAAACAGUAGCAAAGCUUCACUCGCAUUUGCUCACACAAUCUCAGGUGCUUCACUCACACCCCGUGCUUCACUUGCACGUCUCAUACUGGUGCUUCACUCACACCGCGUGUCAUACUCGCACGCAUAUCGUACUCACGAUGCCUUCCUUGCACCGACAUACUCACGAUGCUUUACUCGCACCGACAGCCCAACGUGGCCGUUCACAUCACAUCGGAGCUAGCAUCAUAGUCUAUGCUCCACAUCAUAUCUUCUGCUCCUACGAACGCUACUAGGCGCGGACCCCCCGGCCGCGCCCCCGGCCGUUUCCCUGGUCCAGGUUCACCGCCCACAUGCGCCGGUCACCGCCGUCCCGGCCUACGUGUGCACCGCGCGCCUGGUUGCCACCGCCGCCCUCAGCGGCCUGCUCCGGGCACUCCCACUGGAAAUGUCCCCAGCCCUGGCACCUCCGGCACUGGAUGUUCUCCUUGUUGCGCACAACGCCACCCUCCUAGCUCGGACCUCCACCAACUCUCCGUAGUGGAAUGGUCACGCAUGCUGAGGAUAAGGCUUGCUUCCUCGCCAUCCCGCGAGUACGCAUUCGACUGCUUCCUUCCUCGCCAUCCCGCGAGUACGAGUCCUUAGCAGCUUAUCACCGGUCGUUCUCCAAAGUGAGCGACCGAUAAACUCCAGACGCGAUGCUGUCCGCAAAUUCCGGCCUCCUCGGCCGGUCGCGCUGACUUUGCCUACAUUAUCCCGAGCCUAGUUGAGCAGCUCAAGGGAUCUUGCGAGCAUUUGCUGCGCCGCCUACUGGGCAGCCGCUUUCCUCGCUCAUUGCGCUCAAUGGCCUACAGCCUAUCGGUUAUCUUGUCUUUACUCGACAAAGCGCAACCCGCCGCAACUACGCGGGGCUCAUAACCUGUUGAAUGGUGAUUACGACUAUCGCUAGCCGGAAGUAGGGGCGGCUGACAGUCAGACUGUUUCGCACAUUACAUAGUACCACACUACUUAACUAUAACGGGUAGCUCUCUGGCUUAUACCCUCGCAUGGGUUCCGGGUUAAGUCCUUGCAUGGUGUAUCGCACACACACUCUCGGAACUCCCCUACGUUCUCCCUUAUGGAUAGUUCUGACCGAUAUCUCAACACAACACCCCUCCCCUUCCCGACCCGCCCCUCGCAGUCCGAGCCGCGCGCGGUGGAGUCUCGGCAGGCGGGCUGGACUGCCGCGCUGCAGGAGGGCGCGGCGCGGCGCGGUCUGGAGGCCGACCUGGCGGCGGUGCUGGUCAGCGAGCUGCGGGACACAGGCCACACGCCGGCGGGGGUGGCGGGGCCGCAGCAGGUGCGCGACUGGCUGGCGGCGGCGCUGGAGGGCGCCACGACGCGCUAGAGCGGGGGGGGGGGGCAGGGAGGCAGAUUGGGGAGGGGUUAGUUGGCACGGGGUUUGGGCAGGGGGCGUGUAAGUGUGUUGCAGGUAUUGUCAGAAAGGAUCCGGGUGUGUACGGUGCGCAAGGAUGGUGGGAGAUGGUGGUGGCGGCGGUGGGUGAUGACGGGGGAUGUGCAGGAUGGAGCAACUGGCACAUGCUGUGCUUGAGAGGUGUUGAUAGUUGGCAGUUGAGGAACUAGCGCCGAGUCGGCUCGUGUGUGCCAGGGGUCACGGCAGCGUGUAAGGAAAGAGACUCUUACGAGUUCCAUUGAUACAUUGUUGCGACCAGAUCCGCCAGUGUUGCCAUGCAUGAGUCAUCAUACAAUAUCCACCAGUUCUGCACACCGGGGCCCUUCCAACUCCUCACCCAGCCAGGCGCCAUCUGCCUGCCGCGGCGAGCUCCCACGCAAUCCUGAGGCCAGCUCGCACACAAAGCUUUGCCAGUCACCAAUCUCCAAGCACACCGUACAACCCUUGCGAAGGGCCCAGCCGCCAGCCGUGUGCCAGGAAGGGGUCUUCCCCAACCCAGCCCGCACUUCAUGCCUUACACGCCAGCCACAACCGCCUCCUUCAUCCUGCCAGCAGCGUAACGAGCUCGCGCCUCCUCUCGCCGCCUGGCCAUCUUACCCUUAGCCCUCAUGGGAUGGUGUGAACAACUAAAGCAGUCAACAAUUCUUCUCACAUGGGUCACAACCGCCUUUCCUCGUGUCCGCAGCGUGACUUGCGUGCUCUGCUCACGCGCCGUGUGCCGUUUGACCUGUUCCUUUUCCUUCGCCUACAGCACACCCCAACGUGCCCUCUCCCCAGCAACGUCGCCCCCCGCAAGCCCUCUUAUCCGAGAUCUACUCAUCAGUACUGCCCCUCUUGCCCCUCUCCAACCCCCGCCACAGUCUGCCCCACAGCCCUAGUUGGCGCCCAACCGGUUGCCGCGUCCGCCGAAGGCGCGGAAUGCGUCCAGCCCCGGCGCGGCGUGCGUGUUGACGCGCCGCCCCACGCCUGCGUCCGCCAGCAGGUUCUUGAGGAAGCGGGGCGUGGCGAGCAGGCGCGGGCCGCCGAUGGCGGGGUAGAGCACCGUGAGGUAGUAGUGCAUGUGCCCCACCACGAUGCCCAGCAGGGAGGGGUACGGGAUGGCCCCGGCCAUGAGGAACUCGAUGCCCACGAACACGAAGGGCACGUGGAAGGCCAGCACCUUGAACAGCCCGUAGAUGGACACCUGCUGUUGCGGGAACUGCCGGCUCCACACCUGGGGGUGGGACAGUGAGAAGUGAAGGUGGCAGGUGGGGUGUGUGUGUGUGUGUGUGUGUGCAAAGAUUGGUACAGAGAAGUGUAGCGAAGAAGACAGCAGGCGUCGGAGUGCGCGGGGGUGGGGUUUAGUGGGCUGGAACGGGAAGGAUGAGGCGGAGGAGAAGCAGGCCAGCAGGACGUCUGUAGCGGCUGGAUUGGCCCGUCUUCACGUCUCAGAACUCCUGCCCCACCACCCCCUCUCCCGCGUCAGAGCUCCCUCCCCUCGCUGCCAUCAGCCCUGUCCUCUGGCCGUCCUCCCUGCAGCCCUCCCUCCCUCUGAUGCUGCAGCUUGCCUGUACCUUCUCCUCUCCCUCUCUCCCUCCUCCCCCUCCCCCACUCACAUACAGCAGCAUGAAGAUGAGGGAGUCGGCCAUGAAGAACAUGGGAAUGCCCAGGCCGAACAGCAGCACCAGGCUCAGGCCCAGCAUGCAGCCGGCGCCAAACAGCAUCAUGAACAGGAAGUCGGCCGGCUCGAAGGCGAACGUCUCGCGCUCCAGCGUGGUGCCGUACGACAGCAGCCACAGGAUCUGUGCGUACGGCGCAGGAGUGCGUGUACGGCAGGUGUGUAUGUGUAUGUGUGUGGGGGUGUGGUAGUGUGAGUGCGUGUGUACGGUGUGUGGGCGUACGGUAUGUGAGCGGAAGCGGGUAGGGGAGCGGGUGCAAGGGUUGCAGCUGGGCAGGCGCACGGCUGCGUGUGCAGCUGUAGGGGUGGAUUCUUUGCGGCGCGCUGAGGGCGUGUGUGUGUGUCCACAGCCCUCAGGCGCUGUGCCGGACCGUCUGCUGUCCGCCGCCAGCUCUGUGUCCAGCCUGCGAACCGCCGCAAUUCGGGCCCACCUCCCACCCGCCCUGUCCCACGCCUGCCGCCUCGCCGCCCGCCGCGCAGUGCCGGCUGCCGGCCCCGCCCCGUUCUUGCUGACCCGCAGCCCGCGCCGCUGCCCUGAGUCGGGGCUCGCUCCCAGCCCUGCCCCCGCCCGUGCCGCGCCCCUGCCCUGCCCCGCGCGCGCCCCUGCCGCCCCACGGCGCCCCCCACCUUGAUGACCCAGUUGAAUGAGAACUUGCCCAUGAAGAAGAAGUUGGUCACCAGGCGCCAAACCUGCAGCAGGCAGCAGGGGUGGUGAGGUGGAAGCAGUGGUUCAGGGGGGCGCCGGACAGCAGGCGAAAGGGGGUCUUGUGCCAUGGCGCGUGCCGACGCACACGCUCGCGGCAGCCUAACCCGCCACGCCCCUGAGUCCCCCCAGCUCCACAAGACAACGGGCACGAUUACAGCUCAACGCUGCUCGCACCUCGAAGUGCGUCGCCACUCGCGGCCAUAAUAGCGCAAUCCACAUAACAUUGACGAAGCCCAAGCGCCACAGCAGGGUGACGAUGAACAGCGAUGCCGCAUAGGUUCGGGUGAUGGGCGGCAGGCUCUCAAACCAAGCCCCUACACCCGUUCCCGCAGCGUUCACAUUUUGGAUGCGCGGCGGCAUCGCGCCUGCUUACGCUCUCUGAAGUGGGGAUGAAGUGUCCCUUAACCGGAGUGGCGUGUUUCGCGGAGCACAGGGGCUCAAUUGAUUGGUGUAUGUGAUGGUAUGUCGAUGCAAGUUAGCUGGGUGCCUCCAGUGACCGAGUUUGGCAGAGCGAUCGUGGACCAACUUCUUUUGCCUAUGUAUUCCAAGCUUUUUCCAGACGGUAUGUGUGCAGUGUGUAUGAGUAGAGUAGAUUUCGUUGCAGCCUCAACAAAAGCAUACGGGAACAAACAUGAAGGCCUCAUUCCAGAACUUGCCACCAUUUGCCCGUUCACAACGCUCGAGUCCAUAUAAGUACACCACAACAAUGGUGCCAUCAACUGCGCGCAUGCUUAGCUCUAGCCCUACGAAUCCGUGCAGCCGCACGCCAUGCAGCGUGCGGCCCUUGAACCCCGUUCGCAACCCGAUGGCCUGCGCCGCGGGCCGGCGUCUAGAACGCUUGAGAGAGGAUGAAGAUGAAUGGAGGCAGCGCAAGGGGCUGCGGGGGAGCCCGACGACAACUAAAGGCGGGCGACGAAGGGACCGUGGCGAAGGCGGAGCUGACGCCGAACACGGGGACAGUCGGAGCGCCCGGGGGCGACCAACGGCUGCGGCCAUAUCUGCUGUGGAGCUCUCAGACCGGGAGCUCCAGGAGCCCUCAAGCAGCGGUCUCGGGCGGGGCAGCGGGGACGGGCAGGAGUCGUUGAGAGAGGAAGAAGAGGAGGCACGGGAGGAGGAGGGGGAGGACGAGGACGACGAGGCCGGCCCUCGCAGUGCGGAGGACGGUUUCUUCGACGGCAAGUCGUACCGCCUGGUGUCCACUGAGAGCGGCGAGAACACCAUCCUCAUCAACGGUGAGAGGACGGGUGUGGAUGCGUGGGCUGUUAGCGGCUGUGUGGAACGGGAACGGUUUACACAACACGCGGCGGCGAUGGAGCUGUGGCGGGUGGCCUCAGUCGGACGGGGGUUCAUGUGGCCCUGCGGCACCUGUGCAAGCGGUCAGUGGUCCAGUGGUAGCAUACUACCCGUGACGGCAGGCCCGGGGUCGGCCAUGCCACAGCCUUACACCCUUCCCCGCCACUCGCGGCCCUGCCCUCGCGCUGCCGCAGGCGUCAAAAUGCACAUCUCCAUGAGCAAGCGGCCGUCGCAGGACGCGGAGGACAAGUGCAAGCUCAUCAAAGUGCGGAAGGGCUCGACGGUGCUGGACAUAUGCUGCGGUGAGGGGUGUGGCCGGCCGGCCGGCUGCAGGGGCUUGCCGCGCGUGCAGUGGGUGCAGCUGGUUGGCAGGGGGCGUGUCAGGCCGCCAACAGAGCCUUUGCUGCCGCAGUGAGUACCGGAGCGUAUUCAUCCCUGCUACUUCUAUCUCCGAGCUGUCAUUCCCCGCACUUACCUGGGCCACUCCUCUUCCUUUCCCCCACUGCCUUCUCCUCCGCCUCCGCCUCCACCACUUAGGCCUGGGCUACAGCGCCUCCGCCGCGGCCCGCCUGGGCGCCAAGCGGGUUGUGAGCCUGGAGGUGGACGCCAACGUGCUGGAGGUGGCGCGGCAGAACCCCGCCAGUGCGGCGCUGUUCGACCCGGAGGGGCCCAUACAAAUCGUGAUGGGGCCGGCGCAGGUGCGUGCGUGCGUGCGUGCGUGCGUGCGUGCGUGCGUGCGUGCGUGCGUGCGUGCGUGUGUGUGUGUGUGGGGGGGGGCGGUGGUGGUGGUGGUGGUGGUGAUGGCGGGAGAUGUCCACGCCAUUCCCAGUAGGACACCCAAGACAUGAGGACGCAGGACAGGACAAGCCUGGGGAGGCAAGGUGUGGUGAGGCGAGGUGGGUUAAGGGGCUCCCUCCCCAUUGAGCGCGGUAGGCUUUUGGUUCGGCGAGUCCUCUCCCGAUCUCCCGUACACGAUGCACCCGCUCACCUUCACUCUGCUCCUCCCCACGCGCCCUGCGUCUCCACCCCCUAGGAGUCCAUACUGGCGUUUGACGACGAGUCGUUCUCGGGCGUCAUGCACGACCCGCCCCGGUUCAGCUUUGCGGGGGAGCUGUACUCGCAGGUGACCAGGCUGGGGGGGGGGGAGUGUGUGGUGCAGGGCGCGGUGCAGGGGGCAGCGGUUGCCAGGGUCAGGUCACGGGGCGACCGCGCUGUUGCCUUUUACCCUUACCCGAACCCACGUGCACCACAUGCCCGAAUCUGCAACCCUGAAAUGGCAUAAACACACACAAGCAGACGCCCACCUGCGCCCUCAUC
rnacentral:lncRNA from 1 species